rnacentral:rRNA from 1 species
GACGAACGCUGGCGGCGUGCUUAACACAUGCAAGUCGAGCGGAAAGGCCCUGCUUGCCGGGUACUCGAGUGGCGAACGGGUGAGUAACACGUGGGUGAUCUGCCCUGCACUUCGGGAUAAGCCUGGGAAACUGGGUCUAAUACCGGAUAGGAGCCAUUUUUAGUGUGAUGGUUGGAAAGUUUUUUCGGUGUAGGAUGAGCUCGCGGCCUAUCAGCUUGUUGGUGGGGUAAUGGCCUACCAAGGCGGCGACGGGUAGCCGGCCUGAGAGGGUGGACGGCCACAUUGGGACUGAGAUACGGCCCAGACUCCUACGGGAGGCAGCAGUGGGGAAUAUUGCACAAUGGGCGCAAGCCUGAUGCAGCGACGCCGCGUGGGGGAUGACGGCCUUCGGGUUGUAAACUCCUUUCGCUAGGGACGAAGCUUUUUGUGACGGUACCUAGAUAAGAAGCACCGGCUAACUACGUG